rnacentral:lncRNA from 1 species
CAAAAAUUAUUUUAAAAAUUAUGCAAAAAUAUAUGUGAUGCAAAAUAUUUUUAUGGAUUUUCUGUAAAUAAUUUGAUGAAAAUUGAAUUAAAAAUAAUUAAAAAUUAAGUCAGAAAUUAAAAGGAAAAAGAAAAUAAAAUAAAAAGAAAAUGUUGAAUUAGAGCGUGUCAACGGCUAACAUGUGUGCUAGUCAAUGAUCAGAGGGAUUCAAAUUUUGGCACCAAAGCGCACAUGUAUGAACUUCAUCUUCAACCUUCA